rnacentral:tRNA from 1 species
GGAGAGAUGGCUGAGUGGACUAAAGCGUCGGAUUGCUAAUCCGUUGUACAAAUAAUUUGUACCGAGGGUUCGAAUCCCUCUCUCUCCGACCCCC